rnacentral:rRNA from 1 species
UGGGGAAUAUUGCACAAUGGGGGAAACCCUGAUGCAGCGACGCCGCGUGAGCGAAGAAGGCUUUCGAGUCGUAAAGCUCUGUCCUAUGAGAAGAUAAUGACGGUAUCAUAGGAGGAAGCCCUGGCUAAAUACGUGCCAGCAGCCGCGGUAAUACGUAUGGGGCGAGCGUUGUCCGGAAUUAUUGGGCGUAAAGCGCGCGCAGGUGGUUUAGAAAGUCUGAUGUGAAAGCCCACGGCUCAACCGUGGAGGGUCAUUGGAAACUAAUAAACUUGAGUGCAGGAGAGAAAAGUGGAAUUCCUAGUGUGGCGGUGAAAUGCGUAGAGAUUAGAAGGAACACCGGUGGCGAAAGCGGCUUUUUGGCCUGCAACUGACACUGAGGCGCGAAAGCGUGGGGAGCAAACAGG